AAUAGACCAACUUUAAAAAAAAGAAAAAGGGCCCUCGUGGCCCAGUGGGUAGAGUGAUGCACUUUGAGUUUGGCGUGAGGGAAGUGAGGGGCGCGUAGGUUCGAACCCCCCUCUCGGAACUCACAAAAACCUUGAAAGAGCAUCCCUCCAUCACCAUGUGUGAUGGAACUGCCCACGGGGAGGAGGGGAGGUGAGUGCGCAGCACCUCCCUACCCCUCCCCAUGGGAGGAAGGCACCGCCUUACCGGCCCCCGGGAGAGCAAGGGAGGUGAGUGCACAGCGCUUCCCUUCUCUCCCCUACCUAACCCUGGCAAGUCUACGGACUACCAGGCAAAAAAUAAUAAAAACAAAAAAAAAUAAAAAACAAAAAAAAAAUGAAAAUAAAAUAAAUAAAGGUAAGUGCAUAGCACUUCUCUUAACCUAACAGAAUAAAAAAUAUAAAGGUGAGUGCAUAGCACUUCCCUUCUCUUCCAACCUACCAGGCAAAAGAUAGAAAAAAAAAUAGAUAAAGAAUUAAAGUGAGUGCAUAGCACUUCCCUUGUCUCCUAACCUACCACGCAAAAAAAAAAAAAAUAAAUAAAUAAAAUAAAAUAAAAUAAAUAAAUAAAUAAAGAUAAAUAUAUAAAUAAAUAAAAAUAAAUAAAAACCUCCUUACCACCUCGGACCUCGGGAGAGCAAGGGAGGUGAGUGCACAGCACUUCCCUUCUCUCCCCAAGUCUACGGACUGCCAGACCAAAAAGAAUAAAAUAUAUAUAGGUAUAAAAAAAUAAUAAAAGUAAUAAAAAAAGAUAAAUGAAAAAAAUAAGUAAAUAAAACAAAAACAAUAAAACUCCUACUCCCAACUGACCCAACAAUACCCAACUACUCCCAACAAUACCAACUGACUGACCCUGACAACCCCAAAGACCACCACCCACCUGGGAAGCACGGGAGGUGAGUGUGCAGCACCUCCCUACCCUUCCCAGUCUCCCAGUUUGACUUUGACCACCAAUCUGACUCAUCCUACCAACUCCAAAGAGCAACUCCAACUGUACAGACCACCACCACCACCACCCUUCUGAUCUCGGCAAGGUGAGUGCGUAGCACUUCCCUGGACUGACCCUGACUGACUGACCCUGGCAACUCCAAAAACAACCAACCUGACUGACUUACAGAUAUGUAAUCACCUAACUGACUGGCCCUGGGGAGCAUGGGAGGUGAGUGUGCAGCACCUCCCUACACUUCCCAGUCUCCCAGUUUGACCUGACUCAUCCUGGCAACUUCAAAGAACAACUCCAAAUGUACAGACCAACAGUACCUCCUACUCUGUGUCCCACUCUGACCCUGAUCCAUACAUCCCUACAUCCUACCCUGUCCUGGCUAGGUGAGUGCGUAGCACUUCCCUACCACCUGCCUUU